UACGGGGGGGGCAAGCGUUGUUCGGAAUUACUGGGCGUAAAGGGCUCGUAGGCGGCCAACUAAGUCAGACGUGAAAUCCCUCGGCUUAACCGAGGAACUGCGUCCGAUACUGGCAGGCUGGAAUCCGGGAGAGGGAUGUGGAAUUCCAGGUGUAGCGGUGAAAUGCGUAGAUAUCUGGAGGAACACCGGUGGCGAAGGCGGCAUCCUGGACCGGUAUUGACGCUGAGGCGCGAAAGCUAGGGGAGCAAACGGG
rnacentral:rRNA from 1 species